AGAGAGAGAGAGAGAGAGAGAGAGAGAGAGGUAUUCUUCUUUAUGUAUGUCUUUGUGUCUAACUUUCAGUUGGUACAUUUUCUAACUUUCAGUUGGUACAUUUUAAGCAAGAAUAUUGGCGGUGAUUGCCAUAUGAAUUAGGAGGCAGAAUUGGAAUUGCCUACAUAAUUCAGAUCUGGUCUUUGACUCUUUGAUGCUUUAUAAAAGAGAAAGAUAGAAUUACAAAUCCUAAUACCGGUACUAUGAAACGAGAAAUGAACCAUUAGAAGUGCUGUAUCAAAUCUAUUUUCUUUUUGGAGUGGGGAGGGGAUAGGGGUGGGGUACAUCAGAAGUUGCAAUUUUUGGGCUUGGAAUUAGGAGCAUUCAUUGAGUGCUAUUCACAAUGCACUUCCUUUCUCUCUUUAACUACAGUGGGACUAUGCAAUCCAAAAAUUCUCUCUCCAACUAGAGGGUAAACAAUGGCUCUUGAUUUGGAUAGAAAUAUCAAAUUGUUUUAUUCUCUCUCCCAUACCAAUUGCCUCCAAUAAACUUUCACUCACCACAAUUAAACCAAUCAAAAUGUUCUUAUUGUUAAUUUUUCUAUCCACCUUAUAAGUUUAUUAGGAACGAAUCAACAAAGACUAAUGGAAAGGCCACCAUUGCUUCUACUUGGUGUCCAUCUCUUAGCUUGUAGGACUUCAAUCAUCCCAACACUCGGCGGUCCUUUCUUUUAUACUCUAGAUCUAGAGAAGCUCAUUUAUCUCCUCACUCCCGUCCUUAUCUGUCCUUUCACUCACUCCCUGUCUUUUAUUUGAGGUUCGGAUUAUGAAAUUAGUUCUAUAUUCAAUAUUAGCUUGAUCUAUGUUGUUUGGUCAUUUGGACAAAUGAUGAUCUAGUGGUGCAAAACAACAUUAAAAUUGAUGCUCUACGAUCAAUCAAGUAAAUAAAUCGAAAAUAAAAACAAGAAUGUAGAAGAGGAGGGGAAAGUUUGGCUUUCGCCAGCAUCAAAAAUUGUAGAGGAAAAAAAAAUCGUUUUUCUAUUUAUUUAUAAUCAUAAUAUGUCUUUCAAUUGUAAUCAAAGCUUUCUUUAAAUAGAAAAAAUAACGUAACCUUAAAAAUACUAUGAAAUAAAAUUAGCCCAGUUACUACUAAAAUCAGGACAGUAGGCUUAUAACUUCACGGCAAAUAAAAUCAUAAUUAAAUUAAAAUAAAAAGCCAACUAAUUAUAAAAUUAUAAAAUAUAAAAAUCAAUAAUUAAUAAUGUGCAUUUUCGUUCCACAUCGCCCUCAAUAAUAACCUGAUAAUAAAAAAGAUUAAUAAGCUAAUAUCUAAUACUUUUCCCCAUAAACCUAAUUCCUUCAAUUGGCUAAAGUAGGUGAGGAUGUUCUAAUUUGGUGGAUGAAGAAACCUUAGUUUCUACAACUACUCAACGUUUUUAGUUUCUACAACUACUCAACGUUUUUAAUUAUAUUGUAUGUUGCCUUUUGCUUUGGAUUUUGAAUCAGUUUCCUCCACCAAAUGAUUAUUAUAUUGUUUGUUUUGGUUUCAUUUGAUAUUCUCUUUCUUGGCUGGAAAAAGCUUAGCUUCUGUUUUCCUUGCUCUUAAUGAAGUACAUUAGGUUAUAGAUUUUGAAUUGACAUUUUCAUACAGGAUCCUUAUUAGCAUUUUGCUAGAUAUCUUGUCAAAUAAUUUAUAACCGAAUAACUGGAGGAGUUGAUGGAAACAGGAGGACUCCAGCUGUUGUGAGCAAGAAGAUAUCACUUACACCCAAGGCCAUUAUAUACCAGGUAUGAAGAACAAGCUUGCAGAGGUUGAGGAAGUACAGGAAUCUACUCAAAAUGGAUGCCCAGGGGGGUUGGCCAUUGCUCAGAAAGGCCCAUCUUUACCGUUGCUGCUUGCAACUUCCGGAGUUUUCUGUUGUAUCAGAAACCUUUAAGGAAAAAAAAAAAAAAGGCCGAUCAGUCUGCUGCAGAGAUGGCUUUGGAAAAGGUUUUGCUCAUGUUAUUUGUUUUUGCAGAGUACGAAUCAUUUGGUUUUUAUUUGAUUGAUUUAUGAAAUUUGCUGCUUAUCUUUAGGCAACCAGUGAACUGUUCCACAUGUUGCUUAGAUUUUUCAAUUAUGAAAUUAAUGCUAAGGGUGCAUUGAAAAUUAGUUGUAUUAGAUGUGUUAUCAUCUCACAUGUGCUUUUUUCUUUCUUAGUUCUUGUUGUGUUACAGAACACGAUGGUGAACCGCGACUUAUGAAACAUCUUCUGAAUAUGUCCAUAAUGACCAUGGAGUUAUUAUCCCAUGGUGGUUAACUUCCUGGAACAAGGCCUGAAAAUAGGAUUCUAUUCGGUCACCCCUCCAUGGAACCGAUUUUGAUGCAUGCAGAUUAAGGUUGUCUUGUGAGGUAAUUAAAGCACCGUGGUAGCUUUUGGAGUAUGCAUCUGAUUUUGUUGGUUCUUUUUCAGUUCAUAAAGAUCUGUUAUAGUGUUAUGAAAGACGUCCAUAAUGCCAUUGGAUAAAAAUAUUUUUCUUAU
rnacentral:lncRNA from 1 species